rnacentral:lncRNA from 10 species
CUCUAUACAGGGAUUCACUAUUUCUGUUCAACUGGAAGGUCAAUAAAUCAGCAGAUGGAACACUAUUUUCCUGUAUUCAGCACAUUCCAUCAACUGGUAACUUUUGUUUCCAUGUUUUUGAAAUGGUUAGAUGUGCAUGAUCAGAUGGAAUUACUUGUGAAUCUGGGUAGCUGAUUUUGUUCUGUGACUUCUUAGAACAGUACUGCAGGCAGAAUGGAUUAAUCGUAACAGCCAAUGUCUUUGGGGGGUAUUUCUCUUUACAGGAUUUCUGCCACCCUCUCUGCUUGUAUUACCUAAUUGUAGCCUCAUGAUGGAUGCACUGUGAUCCUGUUAACAGGAAGAUACCCAGUAGCGGGACUGCUGUAUCAAAGGGUGGCCCACUCUCACCACUUCUCUUCAACAUAGUACUGGAAGUCCCCGCCCGAACAAUUAGACAAGAGAAAGAAAUAAAGGGCAUCCAAAUCUGUAAAGAGUAAGUCAAACUGUCACUGUUUGCUAAGGAUAUGAUCAUUUACCUUGAAAACCCUGAGGACCCCUUUAGAAAGCUUCUGUAACUGAUAAAAUAAUUCAACAAAGUUUCUGGAUACAAGUUUAAUGUACACAAAUCAGUAGCUCUUCUAUAUACCAACAGUGACCAAGCAAAUAAUCAAAUCAAGAACUCAACCCUGUUUACAGUAGCUGCAAAAAAAUAAAAUAAAAUACUUAGGAAUAUACCUAACCAAGGAGUCGAAAGACCUCUAUAAGGAAAACUACAAAAUACUGCUGAAAGAAAUCAUAGAUGACACAAACAAAUGGAAACACAUCCCAGGCUCAUGGAUGGGUAAAAUCAAUGUUGUGAAAAUGACCUUACUGCCAAAAGCAAUCUACAAAUUUAAUGCAGUCCCCACAUACAAUUUAAAGAAUAUAAAUUUCAAACAAGAAGUCAUGAAAGUUCCUUAUAGGGUUCAGCUUGUGUCCAUUUUCAGUCUCCAAAAGAAAAAACAAAUUGCCUUAAAUCAGGAAAAGAAUAAAGGAUGAAAAUGGUGAAAAAUUUAAAUCAGAGAUAAAACAAGAAUUUAUUCCUUUUAUACAAAUUGCCUUCCAACUUUACCAAAGUAGUUGUUUUGGUUUGGAACAUUCAUGUGGUUUACAACAGAAAGAGACUAAGUCUUAAAGGAUUUUAUCUCUCUUUGGUGUUUAGUUCCUUAUGGGAAUUUCCUACUAUUUUUAUUCUGCAUAUUGUCCUGUUUAAUGAUUGUGUUCAUUCGCUUCUGGCUUUGAAUAAAGCUCUAUUCAUUUCUAUUUCCUUCAUUUCCCUGAUUCCAGAAAUACUAGUCUUCAUAUAAAGAAGAAGACAAUUAAAUGACUCCUAGCGUAGGGGACAUGACAAAGGAUUUGCAUAAUUGUGUGCACGUGGUUCUCAAUUGUUGAUCUUGCUCUGACCCACUAUGUUAUAACUCAAACCGACAUACUGUGUGGAAAGCUAUAAAAUUUCCUAUUAUGAGAAAAUGAAGGCUUAAAUCAACAUACACUUUUUCCAUGAUGAAUCUAUUAUUUAAAUCAAAAUGUAUUGAACAUUAUUCUUAAAGUAGCUCAUUCAACUCAUUUUAAACAAAUUUUAUUAUCAGUUUAUUCCAUGCAAAGAAAUGAACUUCAAGGAUAUUACAGUUGAGUGAUUUCUACAAAAAGAGAUUUUCUCCAUGUAUUUUUGUUUGUUUUUGGGUUUUCUUGAAAUUCUAUUAAAACUGGUAAGUUCUAAA